AGAGUUUGAUCCUGGCUCAGGACGAACGCUGGCGGCGCGCUUAACACAUGCAAGUCGAGCGAGAACCAGGGCUUCGGCCCUGGGGACAGCGGCGAACGGGUGAGUAACACGUGAGUAAUCUGCCCUCGGCGCCGGGAUAGCCCGGGGAAACCCGGAUUAAUACCGGAUGGCCUCUCGAGCUCUCGAGCUCGUGAGAAAAGAUGGCUUCGGCUUUCGGCCGAGGAGGAGCUUGCGGCGGAUUAGCUUGUUGGCGGGGUAACGGCCCACCAAGGCGACGAUCCGUAGCUGGUCUGAGAGGACGAUCAGCCACACUGGGACUGAGACACGGCCCAGACUCCUACGGGAGGCAGCAGUGGGGAAUCUUGCGCAAUGGGCGAAAGCCUGACGCAGCGACGCCGCGUGAGGGAAGAAGGCCUUCGGGUUGUAAACCUCUUUCAGGAGGGACGAAGCCACUCGGGUUAAUACCCCAGAGGGUGACGGUACCUCCAGAAGAAGCCCCGGCUAACUACGUGCCAGCAGCCGCGGUAAUACGUAGGGGGCAAGCGUUGUCCGGAAUUAUUGGGCGUAAAGAGCGUGUAGGCGGCCAGGUAGGUCUGCUGUGAAAACUCGAGGCUCAACUUCGAGAUGUCGGCGGAAACCAUUUGGCUAGAGUCCGGAAGAGGAGAGUGGAAUUCCUGGUGUAGCGGUGAAAUGCGCAGAUAUCAGGAAGAACACCCGCGGCGAAGGCGGCUCUCUGGGACGGUACUGACGCUGAGACGCGAAAGCGUGGGGAGCGAACAGGAUUAGAUACCCUGGUAGCCCACGCCGUAAACGAUGGGUGCUAGGUGUGGGCGGUGUCGACUCCGUCCGUGCCGAAGCUAACGCAUUAAGCACCCCGCCUGGGGAGUACGGCCGCAAGGCUAAAACUCAAAGGAAUUGACGG
rnacentral:rRNA from 1 species